GACGAACGCUGGCGGCGUGCUUAACACAUGCAAGUCGAACGGAAAGGCCCCUUUGGGGGUACUCGAGUGGCGAACGGGUGAGUAACACGUGAGUAACCUGCCCUUGACUUCGGGAUAACUUCAGGAAACUGGGGCUAAUACCGGAUAGGAAUCCUUGCUGCAUGGUGGGGGUUGGAAAGCUUCGGCGGUUUUGGAUGGACUCGCGGCUUAUCAGCUUGUUGGUGGGGUAGUGGCUUACCAAGGCUUUGACGGGUAGCCGGCCUGAGAGGGCGACCGGCCACAUUGGGACUGAGAUACGGCCCAGACUCCUACGGGAGGCAGCAGUGGGGAAUAUUGCACAAUAGGCGGAAGCCUGAUGCAGCAACGCCGCGUGCGGGAUGACGGCCUUCGGGUUGUAAACCGCUUUCAGCAGGGGCGAAGCUUGUGGUGACGGUACCUGCAGAAGAAGCACCGGCUAACUACGUG
rnacentral:rRNA from 1 species